GUGGCAAAAGCUGUGAUUGCAUGGAACACAGGAGCCAAACACAUUUCAAUUAGGAGCACCUGGCAAAGCAAACCAGGGCAUUCAUCCCACCUGUGACAGGACCUUUAAAAGAAGCAGGCAGUGAGAAGCUGUGAAGACCCUUGCAGGGAACCAAAGUGAAGUAACCUGUGGUGCUUAAACGGACACUCGCCAUCUUGACCGUGAUCGUGCUUCUCAGUGCCCCCUUCACGCUGGCUGGCCCAAAGGAGGGGUCACAGAACAAACCAUGCCGACAAGGAUGGGUGAAAUUUCAAUCCCGCUGCUUUCAGUUUAUUAGGACUCCCAGAACAUGGAUGGAGGCAGAGAGCCACUGUCUAAACCCUUGGGGCCAACCUGGUGUCAGUUCACAGCCCAGAGGAGUCCCACUUUCUAUGGCAGUUGACAGAUGGUUCCCCUGCCUGGGUUGGGGGCUCUGAUGCUGUCCAGGCACACUUUGUAAAGGUCCUUAAGAAGGAGAGGAGCUACAGAACUCACAUCACAGGAAGACUCAGUGGAGGUGUUAGAAGAGGACUUAACAAGUGGUGUGAUAAACUGAGGUGCUCAGAAGGACAACAUCACCAUGGGGGUGUUAAUGAUGUUCCUGCUUCUCAGUGCUGCUUUUUCUUUGGGAGAUGCAUGUUUUAGGCCACACGGAUGUAAUCAGGGAUGGCAGCAGUUUGGAUCCCGCUGCUUCCGUUUUGAAGAGAUUCUGAGGUCAUGGACUGAGGCAGAGCGUCACUGUCAGUCUCUUGGUGAACACCUGGCCUCAGUACACAGCUGGAAGGAGUCUAGGUUCCUGGAGACGUUGACUGUAGGUUCACCUUUGACCUGGAUUGGAGGAAAUGAUGGUGGUCUGCCAGAGUUGACAAAGGACAGGAGCUGGUCCUGGACUGAUGGCUCUGGAUUUAAUUACCAUGAAUGGGAUGAAGGGGAACCCAACAACUAUAAUGGUGUCAGAGAGCUGUGUAUUCAGAUGAACAUUGGAGAUGAACAUCGCUGGAACGAUGAGGUCUGUGAAAAGAACUGUGCUUCUGUCUGCUCCAGAAACCAUUAAAUCAACUGUUGCUGUGGCAUCGUCCUGUUGAAUGUUGUGGUUGUCAAUUAAACGGCUG